rnacentral:misc_RNA from 1 species
AGAGAAGCUCCGGCUCUCCAACCCACUGUGAACAUACCUACGUUCCCUCGGCGGACUCAGCGCGCGGUGCCUCCGGGCGCCGGGCGUCCGCCGGGGGCCCCCAAACUCUUAUUUACUACGUGUAUCUCUGAGGGGCGAAAGCCUGAAAAAAUGAAUCAAAACUUUCAACAACGGAUCUCUUGGCUCU